GACGAACGCUGGCGGCGUACUUAACACAUGCAAGUCGAACGGAAAGGCCCUGCUUUUGUGGGGUGCUCGAGUGGUGAACGGGUGAGUAACACGUGAGUAACCUGCCCUUGACUUUGGGAUAACUUCAGGAAACUGGGGCUAAUACCGGAUAGGAGCUCCUGCUGCAUGGUGGGGGUUGGAAAGUUUCGGCGGUUGGGGAUGGACUCGCGGCUUAUCAGCUUGUUGGUGGGGUAGUGGCUUACCAAGGCUUUGACGGGUAGCCGGCCUGAGAGGGUGACCGGCCACAUUGGGACUGAGAUACGGCCCAGACUCCUACGGGAGGCAGCAGUGGGGAAUAUUGCACAAUGGGCGGAAGCCUGAUGCAGCAACGCCGCGUGCGGGAUGACGGCCUUCGGGUUGUAAACCGCUUUCGCCUGUGACGAAGCGUGAGUGACGGUAAUGGGUAAAGAAGCACCGGCUAACUACGUG
rnacentral:rRNA from 1 species